GGUUAAGUGACUAAGCGUACACGGUGGAUGCCUAGGCAGUCAGAGGCGAUGAAGGGCGUGCUAAUCUGCGAAAAGUGUCGGUAAGGUGAUAUGAACCGUUAUAACCGGCAAUACCCGAAUGGGGAAACCCAGUGUGUUUCGACACACUAUCGUAUGGUGAAUACAUAGCCAUACGAGGCGAACCGGGGGAACUGAAACAUCUAAGUACCCCGAGGAAAAGAAAUCAACCGAGAUUCCCCUAGUAGCGGCGAGCGAACGGGGAACAGCCCAGAACCUGAAUCAGUUCUUGUGUUAGUGGAAGCGUCUGGAAAGUCGCGCAGCAAAGGGUGAUAGCCCCGUACACUAAAAUGCAUUAAUUGUGAGUUCGAUGAGUAGGGCGGGACACGUGACAUCCUGUCUGAAUAUGGGGGGACCAUCCUCCAAGGCUAAAUACUCCUGACUGACCGAUAGUGAACCAGUACCGUGAGGGAAAGGCGAAAAGAACCCCGGCGAGGGGAGUGAAAUAGAACCUGAAACCGUGUACGUACAAGCAGUGGGAGCACCUUCGUGGUGUGACUGCGUACCUUUUGUAUAAUGGGUCAGCGACUUAUAUUUUGUAGCAAGGUUAACCGUAUAGGGGAGCCGUAGGGAAACCGAGUCUUAACUGGGCGAAUAGUUGCAAGGUAUAGACCCGAAACCCGGUGAUCUAGCCAUGGGCAGGUUGAAGGUUGGGUAACACUAACUGGAGGACCGAACCGACUAAUGUUGAAAAAUUAGCGGAUGACUUGUGGCUGGGGGUGAAAGGCCAAUCAAACCGGGAGAUAGCUGGUUCUCCCCGAAAGCUAUUUAGGUAGCGCCUCGUGAACUCAUCUUCGGGGGUAGAGCACUGUUUCGGCUAGGGGGCCAUCCCGGCUUACCAAACCGAUGCAAACUCCGAAUACCGAAGAAUGUUAUCACGGGAGACACACGGCGGGUGCUAACGUCCGUCGUGAAGAGGGAAACAACCCAGACCGCCAGCUAAGGUCCCAAAGUCAUGGUUAAGUGGGAAACGAUGUGGGAAGGCAUAGACAGCCAGGAUGUUGGCUUAGAAGCAGCCAUCAUUUAAAGAAAGCGUAAUAGCUCACUGGUCGAGUCGGCCUGCGCGGAAGAUGUAACGGGGCUAAACCAUGCACCGAAGCUGCGGCAGCGACGCUUAGGCGUUGUUGGGUAGGGGAGCGUUCUGUAAGCCGUUGAAGGUGAACUGUGAGGUUUGCUGGAGGUAUCAGAAGUGCGAAUGCUGACAUAAGUAACGAUAAAGCGGGUGAAAAACCCGCUCGCCGGAAGACCAAGGGUUCCUGUCCAACGUUAAUCGGGGCAGGGUGAGUCGACCCCUAAGGCGAGGCCGAAAGGCGUAGUCGAUGGGAAACAGGUUAAUAUUCCUGUACUCGGUGUUACUGCGAAGGGGGGACGGAGAAGGCUAGGCUAGCCGGGCGACGGUUGUCCCGGUUUAAGCGUGUAGGGGG
rnacentral:rRNA from 1 species